rnacentral:rRNA from 1 species
GUGAACGCACCGCUGGUGUUCGGGUUGUGAUGCCAAUUGCAUUGCCCGGUAGCUACGUGCGGAAUAGAUAAGUGCUGAAAGCAUCUAAGUACGAAACUAGCCUCGAGAUGAGUUUUCCCUGAUGAGAGUCAGUAAGGUCCGUUUGAGACUAAGACGUAGAUAGGUCAGGUGUGUAAGUGUAGUGAUACAUUGAGCUAACUGAUACUAAUGAACCGAGAGUCUUAACCUUACAAC